rnacentral:rRNA from 1 species
GUGGUAAUGCCGGAUGCUCCAUCACACUGCAUGGUGUGUUGGGAAAGCCUUUGCGGCAUGGGAUGGGGUCGCGUCCUAUCAGCUUGAUGGCGGGGUAACGGCCCACCAUGGCUUCGACGGGUAGCCGGCCUGAGAGGGCGACCGGCCACAUUGGGACUGAGAUACGGCCCAGACUCCUACGGGAGGCAGCAGUGGGGAAUAUUGCACAAUGGGCGCAAGCCUGAUGCAGCGACGCCGCGUGAGGGAUGGAGGCCUUCGGGUUGUAAACCUCUUUUGUUAGGGAGCAAGGCAUUUUGUGUUGAGUGUACCUUUCGAAUAAGCACCGGCUAACUACGUGCCAGCAGCCGCGGUAAUACGUAGGGUGCAAGCGUUAUCCGGAAUUAUUGGGCGUAAAGGGCUCGUAGGCGGUUCGUCGCGUCCGGUGUGAAAGUCCAUCGCUUAACGGUGGAUCCGCGCCGGGUACGGGCGGGCUUGAGUGCGGUAGGGGAGACUGGAAUUCCCGGUGUAACGGUGGAAUGUGUAGAUAUCGGAAAA